AAUCAACGCUGGCGGCGUGCCUCAGACAUGCAAGUCGAACGAUUAAAGCUCUCUUCGGAGAGUGUAUAGAGUGGCGCACGGGUGAGUAACACGUAAGUAAUCUACCUUUGAGUGGGGAAUAACAGUCGGAAACGACUGCUAAUACCGCAUAAUGCAGCGGCACCGCAAGGUGACAGUUGUUAAAGGAGCAAAUUCGCUUAAAGAGGAGCUUGCGGCAGAUUAGCUUGUUGGUAAGGUAACGGCUUACCAAGGCUACGAUCUGUAUCCGGUCUUAGAGGACGGUCGGACACACUGACACUGAAUAACGGGUCAGACUCCUACGGAGGCAGCAGUCGGGAAUUUUGGGCGAAUGGGCGAAAGCCCGACCCAAGCAACGCCGCGUGAAGGAUGAAGUA
rnacentral:rRNA from 1 species